GACGAACGCUGGCGGCGUGCUUAACACGUGCAAGUCGAACGGAAAGGCCCUGCUUUUGUGGGGUGCUCGAGUGGCGAACGGGUGAGUAACACGUGAGUAACCUGCCCUCGACUUUGGGAUAACUUCAGGAAACUGGGGCUAAUACCGGAUAGGAGCUCCUGCUGCAUGGUGGGGGUUGGAAAGUUUCGGCGGUUGGGGAUGGACUCGCGGCUUAUCAGCUUGUUGGUGGGGUAGUGGCCUACCAAGGCUUUGACGGGUAGCCGGCCUGAGAGGGUGACCGGCCACAUUGGGACUGAGAUACGGCCCAGACUCCUACGGGAGGCAGCAGUGGGGAAUAUUGCACAAUGGGCGGAAGCCUGAUGCAGCAACGCCGCGUGCGGGAUGACGGCCUUCGGGUUGUAAACCGCUUUCGCCUGUGACGAAGCGUGAGUGACGGUAAUGGGUAAAGAAGCACCGGCUAACUACGUG
rnacentral:rRNA from 1 species